AGAUCCUUCCCUACUCGGCACCGCCAGACCAGUGAGGUGGGCCGAGAGGCCGAGGAGGUGCUGAGGGGACCUCGGAGAGCAGUCGCCCCUACCUGGGCCUAGGUGUCUGUGUUCGCUGCAGGUGCACACCGCUGUGGUCCCCAAUGGGGCCCUGGAGAGGGCAGUGCAAUAGCCUAACGACUGGAGAGGACUUCUUAAAGACAUCUAGCUACCUGCAGGCCAGGUUGAGGAGAGAGACUGUCCACACUCCAGUGACCGCAGGAAGGGAGAGCUCGCCGGCUGGUCACACACCCUAGCUUCUCCUUUCCAAGGGCAAAUGGGCUGCGUCAACAGCUGACACAUCCGCUGCCUUCAGAACAGAAAACCAGUCUAGAGUUUCAGGCUUAUCUCCUGCAUUGCAUUCCCAGAUGGGUAGGCUUUGCCAGACCCUUGAAAGGCCUCUUACUGAGGGAGAGGUCUGUGUGACAACGUCAUGAGCAAUCUACUGCCGGGAGGUCUUCAUCAGAUAAACAGGGCUGCAAAAUUCAGGGCCAAGGAAUGUGGGCUGGAGAGGCACUCCCAGCGCCAGCUGCUACCUGAACACCCUGCGCUGGCGGGGACCCAGGGGGACAAGCUCAAACCAGGAUCCUCAGCGACCAAAGGCAACAGCGAAGCACUUAAUCCUGAAAUAAAGAGUAAUUGCUUCUGGCUUCAAGAAUAAAGGAAAAACAGGAUCAGCCUUGGCUAAAUUA